CAACCGAGAUUCCCCCAGUAGCGGCGAGCGAACGGGGAGGAGCCCAGAGCCUGAAUCAGCAUGUGUGUUAGUGGAAGCGUCUGGAAAGGCGCGCGAUACAGGGUGACAGCCCCGUACACAAAAGCGCAUGUGCUGUGAGCUCGAUGAGUAGGGCGGGACACGUGGUAUCCUGUCUGAAUAUGGGGGGACCAUCCUCCAAGGCUAAAUACUCCUGACUGACCGAUAGUGAACCAGUACCGUGAGGGAAAGGCGAAAAGAACCCCGGCGAGGGGAGUGAAAAAGAACCUGAAACCGUGUACGUACAAGCAGUGGGAGCACAGGUUUACCUGUGUGACUGCGUACCUUUUGUAUAAUGGGUCAGCGACUUAUAUUCUGUAGCAAGGUUAACCGUAUAGGGGAGCCGGAGGGAAACCGAGUCUUAACCGGGCGUUAAGUUGCAGGGUAUAGACCCGAAACCCGGUGAUCUAGCCAUGGGCAGGUUGAAGGUUGGGUAACACUAACUGGAGGACCGAACCGACUAAUGUUGAAAAAUUAGCGGAUGACCUGUGGCUGGGGGUGAAAGGCCAAUCAAACCGGGAGAUAGCUGGUUCUCCCCGAAAGCUAUUUAGGUAGCGCCUCGUGAAUUCAUCUCCGGGGGUAGAGCACUGUUUCGGCUAGGGGGCCAUCCCGGCUUACCAACCCGAUGCAAACUGCGAAUACCGGAGAAUGUUAUCACGGGAGACACACGGCGGGUGCUAACGUCCGUCGUGAAGAGGGAAACAACCCAGACCGCCAGCUAAGGUCCCAAAGUCAUGGUUAAGUGGGAAACGAUGUGGGAAGGCCCAGACAGCCAGGAUGUUGGCUUAGAAGCAGCCAUCAUUUAAAGAAAGCGUAAUAGCUCACUGGUCGAGUCGGCCUGCGCGGAAGAUGUAACGGGGCUAAACCAUGCACCGAAGCUGCGGCAGCGACACUCAGGUGUUGUUGGGUAGGGGAGCGUUCUGUAAGCCUGUGAAGGUGGCCUGUGAGGGUUGCUGGAGGUAUCAGAAGUGCGAAUGCUGACAUAAGUAACGAUAAAGCGGGUGAAAAGCCCGCUCGCCGGAAGACCAAGGGUUCCUGUCCAACGUUAAUCGGGGCAGGGUGAGUCGACCCCUAAGGCGAGGCCGAAAGGCGUAGUCGAUGGGAAACGGGUUAAUAUUCCCGUACU
rnacentral:rRNA from 1 species